CCUACGGGAGGCAGCAGUGAGGAAUAUUGCUCAAUGGCCGCAGGGCUGAACCAGCCAAGUCGCGUGAGUGAUGACGGUCCUAUGGAUUGUAAACCUCUUUUGUCAGGGAGCAAAGGGCGCCACGUGUAGCGCUUUGCGUGUACCUGACGAACAAGCAUCGGCUAACUCCGUGCCAGCCGCCGCGGUACUACGGAGGAUGCGAGCUUUAUCCGAAUUUAUUGGGUUUAACGGGUGCGCAGGCGGAAUGUCAAGUCAGCGGUAAUAUUUCGGGGCUCAACCCCGUCGUGCCGUUGAAACUGGCGUGCUUGAGUGAGCGAGAGGUAUGCGGAAUGCGAGGUGUAGCGGUGAAAUGCGUAGAGAUCUCGCAGAACUCCGAUUGCGAAGGCAGCAUACCGGCGCUCAACUGACGCUCAUGCGCGAAAGCGUGGGGAUCGAACAGGAUUAGAUACCCCAGUAGUC
rnacentral:rRNA from 1 species